rnacentral:lncRNA from 12 species
AUGGCAGCUCAUUGUACCUGGACUGACGGGCCCUGCUGGCCUGCAAUGGGGAAUAGUUGUAAUUUGGAGCGACCGAUCAGGCGAGUUUGCGCCUUUCGCCACUGUGAGACCAAUGCUCGCUGGACAGAAAGAGAAAACAGGAAAGAGGAAAAUGAGAGCUUGACCAGGAGAUGUUCUCACACUGCGUCCACUGUGAGACCAAAUGCUCACUGGACCAAAGAGAAAAUAGGAAAGAGAGAGCUUGACCGGGAGAUGUUCUCACACUGCGUCCACUGUGAGACCAAAUGCUCACUGGACCAAAGAGAAAAUAGGAAAGAGAGAGCUUGA